CGGCGUCAUCCUUGGUUUCGCAUGGCAGCGUGCAGUUCGAUGGUGGCCGACAUUCAUGGUCCGCUUCAUCCUCUGGGCCAGUUUCGGGAUCACCAUGGCAGCCGGCAUCCUCCUCAUCUGCUUCUCCCUCCCUGCCACCGACGGAAUUGGGAUCGCUCUCGUAGCUUUCUCCAUCGGCACCAGCUUCUACGCCUGUUGGGCCACUCGCCGAACCCCGUUCACCGCCCACGUCUUCGAGCUAGCACUCCGACCUGCUGCUAAGUUUUCGGACCUCGAGGGACCAGCAUAUCUCAUGCUGGCUGCG
rnacentral:misc_RNA from 1 species